UCUCCGUUGGGGAACCAGCGGAGGGAUCAUUACAGGACUCGCAAGACUCCUUCACCCUGUGAACCUCACUACAAGCACGUUGCUUCGGCGGGUGUCCCGGCGGGGGUUUUCCCUCGCCGGGGCGCACAGCCCGCCGGCAGCCUACUAUACUCUGUCUCUUUGCGUUGGCAUCUCGAGAAAAAACAAACAAGUUAAAACUUUCAACAACGGAUCUCUUGGUUCUG
rnacentral:misc_RNA from 1 species